rnacentral:rRNA from 1 species
AUUGAACGCUGGCGGCAUGCCUUACACAUGCAAGUCGAACGGCAGCACGGGUGCUUGCACCUGGUGGCGAGUGGCGAACGGGUGAGUAAUAUAUCGGAACGUACCUUAUUGUGGGGGGUAACGCAGCGAAAGCUGUGCUAAUACCGCAUACGCCCUGAGGGGGAAAGCGGGGGAUCGCAAGACCUCGCGCGAUUAGAGCGGCCGAUGCCUGAUUAGCUUGUUGGUGGGGUAAAAGCCCACCAAGGCGACGAUCAGUAGCUGGUCUGAGAGGACGAUCAGCCACACUGGGACUGAGACACGGCCCAGACUCCUACGGGAGGCAGCAGUGGGGAAUUUUGGACAAUGGGGGCAACCCUGAUCCAACAAUGCCGCGUGAGUGAAGAAGGCCUUCGGGUUGUAAAGCUCUUUUGUCAGGGAAGAAACACCGGCUCUAACACAGUCCGGGAAUGACGGUACCUGAAGAAUAAGCACCGGCUAACCACGUGCCAGCCGCCGCGGUAA